rnacentral:lncRNA from 1 species
GGGUUUCUGUUUCUCCCUCCUCUAAAAAGUGUAGUGAACCGCACCCUGUGACGAUCGGUGGUCCCUCUGACUAGAGAGGAUACGUGUUAUAUACAUGUAGGGCCAUAGUGGCAAAGUACGACCGUGGUCAUAGUUAGAUGGGGAAAUGAGAAUGGCCUAGGAAUGGGUAAGUGAUUCACAGUGUUAGCCAGGGAUCCCCUCUUCCAUAAGUGGAUAUGUGUUGUAAUGGCUUCGCAUGGUAUGGUUAAGGAUACUAUUUGAAACUCUAUGAUAAUUUGUGUGAUGGUUUUUCCUUUUACUGAGUAUGCUGCUCGUACUAGUUGAAUCUUUAUGAUGAUUUGUAUGAUGGUUCUUCUGUUUAUUGAGUCUGCUACUCGUAUUAGUUUAAUAUCUAUGAUGAUUUGUACGAUAAUU